rnacentral:rRNA from 1 species
GCGCACCAGGCGCGAAACUUCACACUGUGCGAAAGCACGAUGAGGGAAUCCCAAGUGCUUGCACGUAAGUGUAAGCUGUUUCUCUGUCUAAAACGCAGAGAGAGUAAGGGCUGGGUAAGACGGGUGCCAGCCGCCGCGGUAAUACCUGCAGCUCAAGUGGUGACCGUUAUUAUUGGGCCUAAAACGUCCGUAGCCGGUUUAAUAAAUGCCUGGGUAAAUUGUGUAGCUUAACUAUACGAAUUCCGGGUAGACUGUUAAACUUGAGACCGGGAGAAGUUAGAGGUACUCCUGGGGUAGAGGUGAAAUUCUGUAAUCCUAGGGGGACCACCAGUGGCGAAGGCGUCUAACUAGAACGGGUCUGACGGUGAGGGACGAAGCCCUGGGGCGCAAACGGGGAUUAGAUACCCCUGUAGU